rnacentral:rRNA from 1 species
GACGAACGCUGGCGGCGUGCUUAACACAUGCAAGUCGAACGGUAAAGCCCUUCGGGGUACACGAGUGGCGAACGGGUGAGUAACACGUGGGUGAUCUGCCCUGCACUUCGGGAUAAGCCUGGGAAACUGGGUCUAAUACCGGAUAGGACUCCUGGCUUCAUGGUUGGGGGUGGAAAGCUUUUGCGGUGUGGGAUGGGCCCGCGGCCUAUCAGCUUGUUGGUGGGGUAAUGGCCUACCAAGGCGACGACGGGUAGCCGGCCUGAGAGGGUGACCGGUCACACUGGGACUGAGAUACGGCCCAGACUCCUACGGGAGGCAGCAGUGGGGAAUAUUGCACAAUGGGCGCAAGCCUGAUGCAGCGACGCCGCGUGAGGGAUGACGGCCUUCGGGUUGUAAACCUCUUUCAGCUAUGACGAAGCGCAAGUGAUGGUAGUAGCAGAAGAAGGACCGGCCAACUACGUGCCAGCAGCCGCGGUAA